rnacentral:lncRNA from 1 species
GGAAUAAAACAUAAUCAUAUAGCUGUCAGUUGGAUGAAUCCUUUUGAUGUAAGGAUUCAUGGAAAGAAAUGAACAUGAGGAACAUUUUAAGCUGACCGUCGUUAAUAAUUCACAUGGUUUGAAGGUAAGAGAAGUGGUUAGUGUAUCUUUGUGAGGUUGCAAUAUUAGCAGCAAGGAGAUGAUUUUACUGUGUAAUUCUUCAUUCUCUGGAAGAUGGAGCGGCUAGUCAAGACAGCACUAAUGAUGACGCUGAGACCAGGUUCUGUCAGGACUAUAUCAGAAGCGCUUCUUGCUGCAUCAGUGGAAUCCGCCACAGCAAUACCAAUGUCGGCUUUCUUCAGAGCAGGUGCAUCAUUCACCCCAUCUCCUGUCAUUCCGCAAAUAUGCUUUCUAGCUUGAAGUCUCCUCACAAUCUCGUACUUAUGCUCUGUAUAUAGGUUAAGAAAUCUUAUUUAGUUUUUUAUUAGACACCAUGCACAGAACCUAGAAAGGGAAAUGAAAUCGUGUUUUGUCUUAUACCAGGGAACACUCCAGCAAAGCCAUCAGCUUUCUCAAUGAGUUCAUCAAUGGGGAGAGAGCCAACUGCAUCAUUGCCACCAUCACCAAGCAGAGCUGUAGAUGGGUACAUAUUUGUUCCCAUUCCAAGCCUUCUUCCUGUCUCCUUGCCAAUGGCUAGCUGAUCACCUGUAAUCAUCUUAACACUGACUCCUAAAUCCAAAGCUCUUCUGAUUGUUUCAGCGCUGUCAUGGCGAGGAGGGUCGAACAGGGGUAGGAGGCCGACAAAUUCCCAGGGCCCUCCUGAGCUUUCCUUAUCCCCAUUAGGAACUUGCUGCAGAGACCAAUGAGAGUGACUUGUUACGUUAUUUGGAAUGAUUGGCGUUGAAAUGGGACAUUUUAUACGAUUCAGGAAUGCUAUGUCACAUUAUAGUUCACCUGGCGGGCAAUUCCAAGGGAUCUCAGUCCACGUUCUGCGAAUUUGUCAAUGAUUCCAUGGACCUUGUUGGCAAUCUCCGCUUUGUUAUGCGCCAGGUUAAGAAUCUGAGCAUCCCAUUUGCAGAGCGUAGCCAGAAGAGUUCAGAUUUCUUUGUAGAAUGAGUUCUGAUUUGAGUAUAGCUUCUGAUUACUUACUUGUUCUGGUGCACCUUUGCUAACCCUGUGCAUUCUACUAUCCGCAUCCAAAUAUGUCAGGGCAGUCCUUUUGUCAGUUGGAUUGAAGGGGAGGAAAUGAAUCUCUCUAAUCCCAGCUCUUGCCUUUUAAAGAUAAGCCUCGGUUGUUGGAAAAUGGCAAUGCAAAAUCUCAUGAUGAAAUUGUGCUGCAUACAAAUUAAGAGAGUACCUCC